GCUGGCGCGUGCAUAAGGCAUGCAAGCCGAACGGACUUUUUAUUUCUGGAGAUUGAGAUUACAUCAAGGUCAAAGGUCGUUUAAAGUUAGUGGCAGACGAGGUAGUAAUACAUAGGAAUGUACCCCUUAGUCGUGAACAACUCAUCGAAAGAUGGGCUAAUACACGAUAGUCUCUCCGGAGUAAAGUUUUUCGCUAAGGGAACAGCCUAUGGGGUAUCAGCUAGAUGGUAGGGUAACGGCCUACCAUGGCUAUGACGCCUAGGGGAGGUGAGAGCCUGGCCCCCACCGAUGGGACUGAGACACGGCCCAUACACCUACGGGUGGCUGCAGUCGAGAAUCUUCCGCAAUGGACGCAGGUCUGACGGAGCGACGCCGCGUGGUUGAUGAAGUGGUUCGCCAUGUAAAAACCUUUUAUGAGGGAAGAAGUUUAUUGACGGUACCUCAUGAAUAAGGGGCUCCUAAUCUCGUGCCAGCAGGAGCGGUAAUACGAGAGCCCCGAGCGUUAUCCGGAAUUAUUGGGCGUAAAGUGUGCGUAGGCGGCUAUGUUAGUCGUUUUUCAAAUCUAUCGGCUCAACCGGUAAACUGGAAACGAAACGGCAUUGGCUAGAGGCUGUAAGAGGUAUGUGGAACUCAUGGUGUAGGGGUGAAAUCCGUUGAUAUCAUGGGGAACACCAAAAGCGAAGGCAACAUACUGGUACAGAUCUGACGCUGAGGCACGAAAGCGUGGGUAGCGAAUGGGAUUAGAUACCCCAGUAGUCCACGCCCUAAACGAUG
rnacentral:rRNA from 1 species